UAUAUAUAUAUAUAUAUAAUAUAUAUAUAUAUCGUAUGUGUUUAUAGAUUUUGUAUAGUGAGUGUAUAUGUGGCUGUGCGUGUGUGAGAGAGUGUAGAGACCAACCCCCCUGCUGUCAAGUGUGUAUAAACGAUGCGAAAGGGAGACGUGUGUAGAGGCGAGACGAAACGAGGAAUUCAAAGAGAGAUCUACAUGCAAGGAUUACAUAUUUCUGACCAAUGUCUUCAUAUCGUUGUAUCUUUGAGGGAAGCAAGGUUUCAGAUUGAUCCGUGCUGCUGUAUCAGAGAACAAUGUCUAUACAGAAAGGACACAAAAAGAAAGAGAUUAAAACAGAUCCGGCCAGUUUCGAAGGAAAAGGCUUGUUCUUCACGGCGAAAUUCAUCGGGGUCUCUGACGUUGCAGAUUUUCGAGGGAACGCCAUGUGUCAGGAGACAAUGCAGAAGUUAAAGGCUGCCGUGAAGAGCUCUGGAAAACAUAAGUUAAAGAUUCUAGUCAACAUAUCUCUGGAAGGGAUUAAGUUGAUCGAGGAGAAGACAAUGGCUGUGAACUAUGAACAUAUUGUAAGUCGAAUUUCAUUUAUUUCAAUUGACACUACGGAUUCCAGGGCUUUUGGCUACGUCUUUGAACCAGGAGAUGGCACCCACAAAUUCUUUGCAAUCAAAACUGAGAAGUCGGCUGGACAUGUUAUCAUCGCCAUAAGGGAUUUGUUUGAGACAGUUUUUGAGAUGAAGAAAAAAGAGAGAGACGAGGCUGCCCAAAAAGAGGCAGAAGAGAAAGACAAAUCUGCAGUGUGCAGCGCGGCUGAUGGUGCUGCACCAGUCGCAGCCACAGCUGACAAAGCCAACACUGAUGAAACAGAUUAUGGUUAUUCUGUACCUUCAAAUAACAAACCUGUGCCGCAAGCUGCUGCUACUCCAAAUAUCAUAGACCUUGAUACUGAUUUAGAGUACAUUCAACAGGGAAUGGACUCAAUGGGUACUGCUUUGGAGAGCUUCGAUGACUUUCCCUUUGGGCAGGUGACAACAGGGGACACAACUGCUGAUCCGUGGAACAUAAACAAUUCAAAACAGUGCAUCGGGAAUGCAUCUGCAUCGAUUGCUGCUGCCGCUGCUGCUGCUCCUGUAGUGUUGCUCCCUCCUCCGCCGGCUUCACCUCGCGUUCCCAUCGGCAGCGCUAUGCCACAGGCACCGGCAGCUUUACCACCUGGUCAAUGUAGUCUUGCGGCCAACCUAUUUCCAGCGUCCAGUGCCUUUCCCUCUGCAGUGUCUUCCAAUGUUCCUGCUCAGCCGUUUCCUGUUUCAGUUCCGUUAACUGUUAACCCAGCAGUUCCAAUGACUGCUAACCCGGCAGUUCCAAUGGCUGCUAACCCAGCAGUUCCAAUGACUGUUAACCCAGCAGUUCCAAAACCAACUGAUCCAGCGACAACCCCACCUGAGAUGCCAACCAGUAUGACCUGCUCUCUACCCAUUGUUACAGAUCCAUUCGGAGAUAAGCUGUUUGUUUCCGCUGUACCUGCACAAGUGCCCAGCCAAACACCCUUCGCAGCCUCUACUGCUACCACACCACCAACUACAGACAAUACUGUACCUUUUGCUGCAUUUCCAGUGAUGAAGCCACCACGUGGUAACACGUUUCCAGUUGCAACCCAAAACGCUGCUGCAAAUUUUGCUGCCCAGCAGCCAUUUGCUGCAUUCCCUCCUGACCCCGCACAACCUGUGGCAGGGAAUGCUUUUUCAGCUGCAUUCCCUGUUCAACCACCAACCCCGGUUUCUGGAUUUCCCGUUGGGCAACAACAAUCAUUUGCUGCAUUCCCAGAGGGGACACAGCCAGCUUUUCUGCCCCUCUCGUCUCCUGACAGCAGUCAGAGAAGCACCCCGAGUAAAUUCGAUGCUAUAUCUUUGGACAGUUCUUUCACUAGCGUCUUCUCUCAGCAGAGUAAUGAAAAACUGGAAAGUGGUUCCACUUCUGCAAAUAAUAAACCACCAACAGACACUGGUACCAAUCCAGUUCCUCAGCCUGACAAGCUUUUCCAGGAUCUCUGCAAUUUUGGCAGCAAUCAGCACCACAAGAAGCCAGCAGAGUUAUUUCCAAAGUUGGAACCACCACCAAGCAAAAAAUUAAGUGAAUUGCUUGAAGAAAGUAUUAAAUGUAAAGAAAUAAAUGUUCAGAAUCCUAAAACUGAAAAUCCUCUCCCAACCCAGCAGCAGCAACAACAGCAGCAAUCAGAGCAAGAUGCUACCCCAUCAAAUACUGACCAGGCAAGUGAAUAUUCAAUAACCUCAGCCCUUCCAGCUGAAAACUUGUUAACUGAUCCCGCGUGCUUUCCUGAACCCACCAAAUUUGAUCAACCCUCAGUUUCUGCUGCUUCUUUUCCUGGUUCUGAUCCCCAAUCUUCUAAUGUUUCUAACGACCGGUCCCAUUCUGAUUCUCCCAGUAUUUUCAGCUUCAGUGGCAAUAACCCCACGGAGGUUACCUAUGCAAUGACAAAACUCAAACUUUCAGAUGUUGACUUUAACAACCCCCCCUCUCAUCCUCCUCCGCAACUCCCUUCCCAUCUUCUUGCUGCUGUUGCUUCUGGUCACAACUCGGGGUCAGAGUCUGUGUGUAGCAUUUCGCCCUUUCCAGAUGACCACUGGACCAUAUCUGAUGAUGAAUUUAACCUCCCUUCCCCAACUGUGCCACCUCCUCCAUUACCAACAGGUGCUUCCCUUAAUUUCGAACCCAACCAAGCACCAGCACCCCCACCUCGUCCAAGGACAUCAGAUAUUACAAGAACUGCCAAACCUCCUCCACUUCCUGUUCGUCCAAAACGUACCCUUUCUUCCAGUUCAAGCUUACAAAGUAUGGGCAAAUCCAACUCUCCAGUGUCAUCUGUUGUUUCCCUGGAAGGGACAGUUUUGGCCCAUGGAGCCAUUUCAGAUUGUUCUUUUACAUCACUGCAAGACUCAGAUGUGUCUACCAAUAGUCUUCCAAUGACAAAACUUGCUGACACCAAAGUUAAUACAACAAAGUUUACUGACCGAGGGUCAUCUGUCUCAUCUCCUCUUAGUGUUGCCACUGGCAACAGCAACUGUUCACCCCCUCCUUGGUCUGCAUUUACUGAAAAUGACAAUUCAAGCUCACCUUUUAGUAACCAAAGUUUUUCAAGUGGCGGCCGUGAUGUAUUUGCAUCAAAUUCAUCACAGACUGCCCUUGGUACUGCUAGUUCCCAUGACAGUGGUUGGCCCAACAAUAACCCUUUCAUGUCUAAAGUUAAUACCAGUCCUUCAGUAAGGAACUCUUCAUCACCAGAUCCUUUCAGUGGCCCCUACACCAAAAUAGUUGACAAACGUUCAAAACAGACUCCUCAGACAAUCUCCCAGUCUGUAGAAUCUGUUUGUAGCUCAACAUCAGCUCAAAUCCAUAAUAAAUCCAGCCAACUAGGGUUCAACAGUGUGGAUCCAUUUUGUGUCCAUCCUUGCACAAAGCCACAAUCAAACCAUAACCAGACAAACACAAACAUUUCUGGAUCAUUCUGUAGCGAACUUAAAAAUGACUUAUCUGAUCCUUUUGUUGUUCCCCUCCACCUCAAACUACAAACUGAGAAGUCUCCAGUUGACCCUUUUGUGAUACAAACGAAUGUUAAUCUAACACAAAACAAUACUCAAGUGACUCAGUUUUUCCCUUCGACAAAAAAUACCGAAAGGUCACUUCCAGAGACUGAUCCUUUCACAUACAACAGUCAAACAACUAACAUUGAAAAUGACCCUUUUACAACCCUUAGUCGAAACAGUGGACACUCUGGCAAUGUACCAUCAGAUCCAUUUUUCUCUCCCAGCCACAAUCCUGCUGAAUACUCUCAGACCCAGACUGACCCUUUUGACGCAUUUAAUCAAUGGCCAGUUAGUACAAAAUUCAGUGUGGACAUUGAUAAAAGCAAUGGUCAUUGACCAAGAAGAUCCAGACAAUCUUCAGAUGCAUUUAUUAUUAAUGGUAGAUGGUAGAUCUUUCAUCCAACCGGCUGUGAUCAGUCUCAGUCCCCAUGCAGGGGGAACAAGUUCAGACUGCUAGUUGCCAGGAACCAAUAUAUUCGAUUCCGAUAAGGAAAAUUUAGACAUUCAUUGAGACGUGCAUGGGAAACAAAGCUGUCAGAAUGGAAGAAAUAUAAGCAGCCAGUUUAGCCAGAAUUACAAGAAUUUUACCUUAGCACAACCAGAAAUGGCUCUUGUUGCUAAGGAAAUAUUACAGAAAAAGAAAGAGUGAAUUGAAUUUAUUAAAAGAAAAAUGUCCAAGAAGUUAUUUCCACAAUUAAACAACAAUGUAGUAAAGUUUGUCUCAAUAUAAAACUGGAUUGGAAAUUAAUUUUUGAAGUUUCCUUGAAUAUAAUUAUAUAUUUGUAUUUUAGCAAAUUAAUGGAUUAAAAACCCACAAAAGACUGAGAGACGAAUUGCUUUAUUUUAUUCUAAGUUUCUAAUAAACAAAGAAUGUGAAUUAUUGGUUAUCAAAAUAGAUUAGUUUAUAAAGAAACAAUAUUAUUGACAUUGUAAAAUAUUAACAGGAGAAAAUGGAAUUGUUACAAAGUGAAAAAAAAAAAAAAUAAUGAUAAAAAUAAUAUUAAUAAUGAUAAUGGUAAUGAAUG